rnacentral:tRNA from 1 species
GGAGAUUUAGCUCAGGGGUAGAGCGCUUGCCUAGCAAGCGCAAGGCCCUGGGUUCGGUCCCCAGCUCCA